rnacentral:rRNA from 1 species
ACAGCAGCCGCCACGGGAAUACAGAGGGUGCGAGCGUUAAUCGGAUUUACUGGGCGUAAAGCGUGCGUAGGCGGCUUCUUAAGUCGGAUGUGAAAUCCCUGAGCUUAACUUAGGAAUUGCAUUCGAUACUGGGAAGCUAGAGUAUGGGAGAGGAUGGUAGAAUUCCAGGUGUAGCGGUGAAAUGCGUAGAGAUCUGGAGGAAUACCGAUGGCGAAGGCAGCCAUCUGGCCUAAUACUGACGCUGAGGUACGAAAGCAUGGGGAGCAAACAGGAUUAGAGACCCCCGUAGUCCCUGUCUCUUAUAC